rnacentral:rRNA from 1 species
GACGGUAGGGCGCGAGCGUUGUCCGGAUUUAUUGGGCGUAAAGAGCUCGUAGGCGGCUUGUUGCGUCGAACUGUGAAAACCUGCGGCUCAACCGUGUGGUCUGCAGUCGAUACGGGCAGACUAGAGUUCGGUAGGGGAGUCUGGAAUUCCUGGUGUAGCGGUGAAAUGCGCAGAUAUCAGGAGGAACACCGGUGGCGAAGGCGGGACUCUGGGCCGAUACUGACGCUGGAGGAAGCGAAAGCGUGGGGAGCAAACAGG